rnacentral:rRNA from 1 species
UGAGUAAUGUCUGGGGAUCUGCCCGAUAGAGGGGGAUAACCACUGGAAACGGUGGCUAAUACCGCAUAACGUCGCAAGACCAAAGAGGGGGACCUUCGGGCCUCUCACUAUCGGAUGAACCCAGAUGGGAUUAGCUAGUAGGCGGGGUAAUGGCCCCACCUAGGCAACAAUCCCUAGCUGGUCUGGAAGGGAUGACCACCCACACUGGAACUGAGACACGGUCCAGACUCCUACGGGAGGCAGCAGUGGGGGAAUAUUGCAACAAUGGGCGCAAGCCUGAUGCAGCCAUGCCGCGUGUAUGAAGAAGGCCUUCGGGUUGUAAAGUACUUUCAGCGGGGAGGAAGGCGGUGCGGUUAAUAACCGCGUCGAUUGACGUUACCCGCAGAAGAAGCACCGGCUAACUCCGUGCCAGCAGCCGCGGUAAUACGGAGGGUGCAAGCGUUAAUCGGAAUUACUGGGCGUAAAGCGCACGCAGGCGGUCUGUUAAGUCAGAUGUGAAAUCCCCGGG